rnacentral:rRNA from 1 species
CAAGCGAUAGGUAAGGGCAUUUGGUGAAUGCCUUGGCAAUCAGAGGCGAAGAAGGACGUAAUACACUGCGAAAAGUCACGGGGAGUUGUGAAUAAGCAUUGAUCCGUGAAUGUCCGAAUGGGGAAACCCACAGAGCAAUCUGUAUCGUAACAUGAAUACAUAGUGUUGCGAAGCGAACGCAGGGAACUGAAACAUCUAAGUACCUGUAGGAAAGGAAAUCAACCGAGACUCCGAAAGUAGUGGCGAGCGAAAUCGGACCAGCCAAAAAAGACAUAGGGCGCAAGAAGAACAUUCUGGGAAGGAUGACCAAAGAAGGUGAUAGUCCUGUAUUUAUAAGCAAACUAUGUAAAAACGAGUAGGGCGGAGCACGAGAAAUUCUGUCUGAAGAUGGGUAGACCACUAUCCAAGGCUAAGUACUACUGAUUGACCGAUAGUGAACAAGUACCGUGAGGGAAAGGUGAAAAGCACCCCUAUAAGGGGAGUGAAAAAGAACCUGAAACCGGAUGCCUACAAGCAGUCGGAGGAGCAUUAGGCUCUGACGGCGUACCUUUUGUAUAAUGGGUCAGCGACUUAGUUUAUGUAGCAAGCUUAAGCCGAUAGGUGUAGGCGUAGCGAAAGCGAGUUUUAAUAGAGCGAUAAGUUACAUGCAUUAGACCCGAAACCGAGUGAUCUAGCCAUGAGCAGGUUGAAGGUUGGGUAACACCAACUGGAGGACCGCACCCAUAUCUGUUGAAAAAGAUAGGGAUGACUUGUGGCUAGGGGUGAAAGGCCAAUCAAACUCGGAAAUAGCUGGUUCUCCGCGAAAACUAUUUAGGUAGUGCGGCAAGCGAAUACCUUGAGGGGUAGAGCACUGGAAGAAUGAGGGGGGAGCGAUCCUUACUAAAUUUUACCAAACUCCGAAUACUCAAGAGUAAUACUUGCCAGACAGACAGUAGGUGCUAAGGUCUAUUGUCGAGAGGGAAAGAGCCCAGACCGUCAAUUAAGGUCCCAAAAUUAUGGCUAAGUGGUAAAGGAAGUGAAUUGUCCAAAACAGUCAGGAGGUUGGCUUAGAAGCAGCCAUCCUUUAAAGAAAGCGUAAUAGCUCACUGAUCUAAACAAGACGAUUUGCGCCGAAGAUGUAACGGGGCUAAAGCCAUAUACCGAAAUUACGGGUUUGUACUAAGUACAAGCGGUAGCGGAGCGUUCUGUAAGCCUGCGAAGGUGUUCCGUAAGGAAUGCUGGAGGUAUCAGAAGUGAGAAUGCUGACAUGAGUAGCGAAAAGAAGUGUGAGAGACACUUCCGCUGAAAGUCCAAGGUUUCCUGCGUAAAGCUAAUCUGCGCAGGGUUAGUCGGCCCCUAAGGCGAGGCAGAGAUGCGUAGUCGAUGGGAAUCAGGUUAAUAUUCCUGAACCAACUAGGAAGUGACGGAUUCAGUAAAUUGUAUGUCCUUAUUGGAUUGGAUAUGCAGUGAAUGAGUUCCAGGAAAUAGCCCUAGUAUAGACCGUACCCCAAACCGACACAGGUGGACAGGUAGAGAAUACCAAAGCGCUUGAGAGAACUAUGUUGAAGGAACUAGGCAAAAUACUUGCGUAACUUCGGGAUAAGCAAGCCCCAUUUUAAGGCAACUUAAGGUGGGGGGCACAUACUAGGGGGUAGCGACUGUUUACUAAAAACACAGGGCUCUGCUAAAUUGAAAGAUGAAGUAUAGGGUCUGACGCCUGCCCGGUGCUGGAAGGUUAAGGAGAGAUGUGCAAGCAUUGAACUGAAGCCCCAGUAAACGGCGGCCGUAACUAUAACGGUCCUAAGGUAGCGAAAUUCCUUGUCGGGUAAGUUCCGACCUGCACGAAUGGCGUAACGACUUCCCCGCUGUCUCCAACAUAGACUCAGCGAAAUUGAACUCUGAGUUAAGAUGCUCAGUACCCGCGGUUAGACGGAAAGACCCCGUGAACCUUUACUAUAGCUUUGCAGUGGUAUUAGGUGACAAAUGUGUAGGAUAGGUGGGAUGCUAUGAAGUUAUGACGCUAGUUGUAAUGGAGCAGACGUUGAAAUACCACCCUUUUGUUAUUUGAUAUCUAACCUGCUUCCCUGAACGGGAAGAGGGACCCUGCAUGGUGGGUAGUUUGACUGGGGCGGUCGCCUCCCAAAGAGUAACGGAGGCGCGCAAAGGUUGGCUCAGACUGGUCGGAAAUCAGUCGUCGAGUGCAAUGGCAUAAGCCAGCCUGACUGCGAGAGAGACAUUUCGAGCAGAUACGAAAGUAGGGCUUAGUGAUCCGGCGGUAGAGUAUGGAAUUGCCGUCGCUUAACGGAUAAAAGUUACCUCGGGGAUAACCUGUCUCUUAUACACAGCUCCGAGCCCACGAGACGCUCAUGAAUC